rnacentral:rRNA from 1 species
GUUUGAUCAUGGCUCAGGAUGAACGCUGGCGGCGUGCUUAACACAUGCAAGUCGAACGGGAAUUACUUUAUUGAAACUUCGGUCGAUUUAAUUUAAUUCUAGUGGCGGACGGGUGAGUAACGCGUGGGUAACCUGCCUUAUACAGGGGGAUAACAGUCAGAAAUGGCUGCUAAUACCGCAUAAGCGCACAGAGCUGCAUGGCUCAGUGUGAAAAACUCCGGUGGUAUAAGAUGGACUCGCGUUGGAUUAGCUUGUUGGCGGGGUAACGGCCCACCAAGGCGACGAUCCAUAGCCGGCCUGAGAGGGUGAACGGCCACAUUGGGACUGAGACACGGCCCAGACUCCUACGGGAGGCAGCAGUGGGGAAUAUUGCACAAUGGGGGAAACCCUGAUGCAGCGACGCCGCGUGAAGGAAGAAGUAUCUCGGUAUGUAAACUUCUAUCAGCAGGGAAGAUAGUGACGGUACCUGACUAAGAAGCCCCGGCUAACUACGUGCCAGCAGCCGCGGUAAUACGUAGGGGGCAAGCGUUAUCCGGAUUUACUGGGUGUAAAGGGAGCGUAGACGGUGUGGCAAGUCUGAUGUGAAAGGCAUGGGCUCAACCUGUGGACUGCAUUGGAAACUGUCAUA